rnacentral:tRNA from 1 species
GCCUGGCUGGCCUAGCUAGGAGAGCAUGUGACUGUUGAUCUCAGUGUCAUGAGUUUGAGCCCCAUGUUGGGCU